GUGUGAGAGGAGGGGCUGGUCUGGGGGCUGGAAAUCCCCCCCCAGCACUCACAGCCAAAAGGGUUGGUGCUCUUGAAGGUGAUGUCGAUGGGGAAGUUCCACACGAGCGUGGUGGGCGAGACGUCGCUCUUGGAGGGACCACAACGUGAUGGGGCUGGGCUGGUGACACGACGGUGUUGGCCUGGUGAUGUGACAGUGCUGGCCCUUUGGGACCGUGGUCGUGCCACUGCUCCUGCCAGGAAUCUUUGCUGCCCACGCGCACGUCAGCGCCACGGAGACUCACCAGCCCGGCCACCAUCUGCCACGGUUCAUCCCUUCGCCUCCUUUCUCCAUCCCACACCACGUGCUGUGCCCAGGUUGGAUCCCAGCUCCAGAAGAACCAUUCCUGGUGUCCCUUUAGCACUGACCCC